rnacentral:rRNA from 1 species
UACAGAGGGUGCAAGCGUUAUUCGGAAUCAUUGGGCGUAAAGAGUUCGUAGGCGGUUCGUUAAGUCUGGUGUGAAAUCCCUGGGCCUAACCCAGGAAGUGCAUGGGAUACUGGCGGACUGGAGUGCAGGAGAGGAGAGCGGAAUUCCAGGUGUAGAGGUGAAAUUCGUAGAUAUCUGGAGGAACAACAGUGGCGAAGGCGGCUCUCUGGACUGUUACUGACGCUGAGGAACGAAAGCGUGGGGAGCAAACAGG